CGAGCUCCACCGUGCUCCGCCACUUCGCCGCCAUCCAUUCCGGUGCCGGUUAUAUUGUUCAGUAAUAUACGGGUGACACAUGUUAAAUUGACCAAAAAUGUCCCUUUCAUACAAUACUUUCUCCCAAGUCCUGACUCCAGUUCCUCCCUCUCAUCGUUACCUAUUUCCGGCCAAAAUCCCAAAUUACUACAAGCUACCCGGAUUGCACCGACGGCUUCUGCUAACUGUGGCCGUUAGAGCCAAGCCGAAAGAUCUUAUCUUAG
rnacentral:misc_RNA from 1 species